UAAUCCAUUCAGGUGAUAUUAAUGGCCUUUUCCUGCCAGGAACUCCAGUGGGCACUCAGGAAGCCAGGAUUACAGGGCUCUAUCCAGUCACCGCAUGUCUCGGCAUUCGGGAAGCCUAUCUCAGUCUCCUCAAAUUCUGCACACAUAAAACUUCAGAGCCUGGGAGCGACCCAUGAAACGCAGGUUUUUAAGGACAAAACAAUAGGACAAAAGUGCUGUAUAUUGUCCUUAAGAUGACACAUGAAUUUAAAAUGCAUAGUGUUUGGAUUAUUCAUGAGAGCCCCGCAAGAACGAUGUCCCAGGGGUUUUUGCCAGGAACAUGCCUGAGAUUGUAGAUAAGAAUCAAGCAUCUGGGGCUGCCGCACAAUGGAAAACUCCAGCACUCCAUGGAACUUUUCCAUCUGCAGCAGUCGGAGGAUUUGCCUGAGAACAUACGCGGCAUGAAGACACUCUCAGCCCUCAAGGGCACCCAGUCAGCGCUGUUUAAGGACGGUUUUUCUGUUCACAGCAUACUUCAUGAUUACAGCUUCACUCCAUUGGAUACAACUAUUUACUGAGCAUCUCCUGACACCAGAGAGGACGCAACAAAAAUCACAACUCCUAGAACUGCACAGUCUAAAUGGCAACCACUAGCCCCUGUGACAACUGAUCACUUGAAAAAUUCUUUAGACGACAGCCAUCAAGCAGCAAAUACCUCGCAGGAGGCCAUUGUGUUUCUAUUUGAACUUCUAUGGAUGUCAAGCUCUGUUCUUCAAAAUUUAGCCCUACAGAUGGGUGGCCCACCGGAGAGAAUUAAUCUCACUAUGCAGCCAACACUACCCUUUCUGGAUCUUUCCCCAGUAGUGUGGAUUCUGCUCUAGUCCAGAAUUAUGCAGAAUAAGUAUACUUCAUCUUAGACACCAUAAUUCUUCAAAUAUCUAAAAUGUAUAUUAUGCUCUCCAAAUCCUGGUCAUCUCCAGGUUAAGUAUCUCUCAAAAACAGUCCAUCAGAUAAUAUGAUUUUAAAUCUUUAUCCCCUUGGUCAUAUACCCACAAUCUCAUUCUAUUUACCAAUAUCCCUACUGAUGCAUAAACUACA
rnacentral:lncRNA from 1 species